rnacentral:rRNA from 1 species
UACGUAGGUGGCAAGCGUUGUCCGGAAUUAUUGGGCGUAAAGCGCGCGCAGGCGGUCCUUUAAGUCUGAUGUGAAAGCCCACGGCUCAACCGUGGAGGGUCAUUGGAAACUGGGGGACUUGAGUGCAGAAGAGGAGAGUGGAAUUCCACGUGUAGCGGUGAAAUGCGUAGAGAUGUGGAGGAACACCAGUGGCGAAGGCGGCUCACUGGACCGGUACUGACGCUGAUGCGCGAAAGCGUGGGGAGCAAACAGG